GGCUCGCAGGCGGUUUCUUAAGUCUGAUGUGAAAGCCCCCGGCUCAACCGGGGAGGGUCAUUGGAAACUGGGAAACUUGAGUGCAGAAGAGGAGAGUGGAAUUCCACGUGUAGCGGUGAAAUGCGUAGAGAUGUGGAGGAACACCAGUGGCGAAGGCGACUCUCUGGUCUGUAACUGACGCUGAGGAGCGAAAGCGUGGGGAGCGAACAGGAUUAGAUACCCUGGUAGUCCACGCCGUAAACGAUGAGUGCUAAGUGUUAGGGGGUUUCCGCCCCUUAGUGCUGCAGCUAACGCAUUAAGCACUCCGCCUGGGGAGUACGGUCGCAAGACUGAAACUCAAAGGAAUUGACGGGGGCCCGCACAAGCGGUGGAGCAUGUGGUUUAAUUCGAAGCAACGCGAAGAACCUUACCAGGUCUUGACAUCCUCUGACAACCCUAGAGAUAGGGCUUUCCCUUCGGGGACAGAGUGACAGGUGGUGCAUGGUUGUCGUCAGCUCGUGUCGUGAGAUGUUGGGUUAAGUCCCGCAACGAGCGCAACCCUUGAUCUUAGUUGCCAGCAUUCAGUUGGGCACUCUAAGGUGACUGCCGGUGACAAACCGGAGGAAGGUGGGGAUGACGUCAAAUCAUCAUGCCCCUUAUGACCUGGGCUACACACGUGC
rnacentral:rRNA from 1 species